GCAUUCGUGGUGUAGUGGUCAGCACGCUCGGCGCGUAUUCGAGAGGUCCGUGGUUCGAAUCCCGGCGAAAGGA
rnacentral:tRNA from 1 species